UUAUGAUCAGCUGAGGAGUCCGGUGAUCCGCAGAGGAACGGAAAGAAGUCGGUGGAAAUUCACACGUUGACUUGAAUGAUUACGAUCAGCUGUUAUUGGCGGAUAUGACCUUUUCGUAGCUGUUCCGGAAGUGGUGGAAACUGGAGGUAAGUGUUGCAAACACACAAGGGUCCUCUCCAUGCUAUCCCAGAUUUGUCCUCCUCAGACUGCAGCUUCAGGGUUCUGUCCUGGCUCCUCUCUCUCUGGGGUGAAAAGGUUAUUAAAGGGCACGUUUGAUUUGUUCAAGAAAAAAGAUUUUAUUGAAGUCGUAAAAACUUCCUCCAACUUUUCUCUGAAAGUUGGAAACGUCUGCAGAGAUUCAGAUCAGACAGACACUGAACGAGGCCUUUCUUCUAUUUCUCCAAAGAGGAACUGAGGGAGAAAAAAUGAAAACUUUUCAUGAAAACAGCAAAAAGUCAGAGAAAAAGAAACAGAGUUACACGGACUGUCUGGCAGAUGUCCUUUCUUUUCUUUUUCUGUCUUUCACUCACAGUCUAACACCCUCUGACUGUGCAGGAAAUCCAGCAUUGAUACGUCGGACAGGUUCCUCUCAAACACGCCGCAGAGGGAGUUGUGAACAUUUUUCAAUUUGUGCACGAGGAGUCAAAGUGUCCCCCCCGGCGGUCCGCCUGACUUCCCCGUGAAUGAACUCGGCUCCUCAUAUUAAAACACGUCUAAAAAGUUUCUAAUCCCUCAUGAGACGCCCAAAACCAGCAGCUUUGCGUCACAUUUUCCUCCCUUCAGUGUCGCAGAAACAGGCGUGACGUUGGCGAUGAAAUCCAAAGUGACAGUGAGUCUUCAGUGAAAGGAAGCUGCAGCUGUUUUAACGCUCUUUGACUUUGACCACACGCAGAGCGACAUUUGGAGUUUGUUCUCACUGAGGGAUUAAAAUCGGGGAUAUUUCAGCUCCUGCUGCUGCGCCGGCUCACAUUUGGUGAUGAAAUUAUUCUUUAAAUCUGGGAGAAUAAAUCUGAUAUUAAAGGAAAUAACAGCCGUCUAAAGGAUGAAUAUGAACGCUGAGACUCUGCCAACUCAUGAUGACAGCCCUGCUGAUGUAUUAUCACCCGGUCUGGUGAGCGUGUUAGCAAACAGCAGCUUAUUAACUCAUCAGCAGCACUCUCUGGUCACCAGAUGGUUGAGGACCGCUAAUCGCUCUUUUUCCCCCCUCCAUUCAGCUCCAGAGGGAAAUAUCAAACCCUUUGGAUGCUAAAUGCUACACUAUUUUCAGCAGCUGGUCAUUAACUUUGCUCACAGCACAAAGCAGGAGUUAAAAAAACUCUUUUCUAAAAGCAGCUCCAGCUAAAACGGCUCAUCAGAGUCAAACCGCGGUUCAACUUGAGGUUCAAUGACCCUGAAACUCAGACUUUUCACGUCACCUGUGCAGCAUCAGUUCAGAAUCCAAAUCAGUCAGACUGAAAUUUAACAAAAUUAAACUUAACAUUGUCAGACGGACAUAUCUCGAUUAUGUGGUUCGGUGAUUUUCUUUAGCAUGUACAGACGCUUCAGUGGGACGGAAACUGGCUUAACCCCACAUUUCCACCGCAUCCAAAACGGCUACAAAGAGGCCAUAUCCUCCGAUCGUAGCUGAUCGUAACCAUCCAAGUUAACGUGUCAAUUUCCACCGACUUCUUUCCGUUCCUCUGCGGAUCGCCAGACUGCACGGCUGAUCGCAAGAGUUCUUUGUUUUCCCAGAUGGCGGAUAAAUUCAGCACAGAUUAACCCGUGCUGGAAAGGAAGUCGGGCACAGACACAAAAUAAAACAUCCAGCUUCUUUUCAAAAUAAAACACUCUGUGUUUCAGGAGGAUCGUAUUUCACAACAUGCAAACGGGCGGAGACGAACAAGUGAAAGGUUUUUAGAUGCCGUUCUGGAUGCGGUGGAAAUUGGGGGUUAGAUUUAAUAUGAUUAGACUUCAAACUGUGGUCUUUUGUCUUCUGGUGCACGAUGGUCUUAGAGCUUUAGUUGCAGGAAUGUAGUCCUGAACCCGCAGCUCUCAGGUCUGCAGAUCUGUGCUCCUAAAGGGACAAAAGGGUCGUCAUUUCAAGUCUAAGUUUGGACCAAAGUCUGCAGCUCUAGUCUGGUGCUGGAGGUUUCUUUUAGCUUAGGGGUGGGCAAUCAUGUGCCAUGGAGGGCCGAGGGGCUGCAGGUUUUCUUUCCAACCCCAAACUCCACCAGGUGAUUUCACUGAUUAGUCCCUGCUCUCUGCUUGGAGGUUAUCAGUGAGAUCACCUUGUGGAGUUUGUGGUUGGAAAGAAACCUGAAGCCUCUCGGGCCUCCAUGGCACAUGAUUGCGCACCCCUGUUUUAGCUGGAUACUGGUCAGGGAGCUCCAUCACUUAGACGUGGACUUCCAUAGGCUCCUGUUUGUGUUUGUGAAGAUCAUGUUCAGACCUAAAACUGAAUUCCCCUUUAAGGAUUAUAACUGUAUGUCUUCUGAUGGAAACCAUAAACUCUACGACACCGACAGCUUCCCUGUUUUGAAAUAUGAUAUAGAAACUCUCUCAAGGACGGAUAUUGAACCAUUUACUAUCACUUUCCUUUUAUCUCAUGAUAGUUUUUUUCCCUUUUCUCUCGGCUAAAUGGCCGUUGGGUUAUUUUUUUUAUAAAUCCUUCUUGGAACCGCUUCCCUUCAAUCUCGGUCUCCUCUGCUCCACUUGAGUGGAUUAGACGGUUGGAAGAAAAUCAUCACUUUGAUCCAGAUUCUCGAGGAGAGCUCUCAGUCCCAAUAUUUCACAAUCUUGCGGUACAGUAAACACCUUCACCCUCCGUAACCCUCAUCUUCACACUUUUCUCCUCUCUCUGAUGGUGAGCCGUGGGUCAGACACAUUUUGAUCCAUCAUCUCAGCGCAAUAGUCGAGAUUUACACCAUUUCUCUCAUAACACCUCAGCCUUCAGGUGUUCGUUUUUUUCACCGCACACCUGUUACCUGCCAGACUCUGUUCUCUCCAUCAUCCAAGUAUUUCUACACACUAAAGAGUACAUGUUGUUGUUGUAAUCAUUUUUUUCUACUUCAAGACAGCUACAACAAAAAAGGAGAUUUUUAAAUAUUUAAUUGACUGAUCAGAACAGCUGAUUUGUACAAAAGAGGAUAAGGGCCACAAGAAGAGAAAAAAAAUUACAGAAAGGAAAAUAAAGUCGAAAUUUUGAGAUUGUAAAAAAUCUAAAUUAUGUCAAUGAAGUCGAAAUUUCAAGAUUAAAAUUAGAAUCUCUGGAUUAAAGUCAAGAUUUCAGAUUACAAAAAUUGAAAUUAUGUCAAUAAAGUCAAAAUUUCAAGAUUACAAAAUGUCAGUGUCAUAAGAAUUCAAAAUUUUUACAUUAAAGAAAUGAAAAUUUCAAGAUUUAAGUUGAAAUUUCAUGAUUAAAGUUAUAAUAUUGAGGUAUAAAAAUCUAAAUUAUAUCAAUAAGGUCAAAAUUUUAAGAUCAAAAAAUCAAUUACAUCAAUAAAAUUGAAAUUUUGACAUCAGAAAAAUUAAAAUUUCCAGAUUAAAGUUGAAAUUUUGAGAUUAAAGUCAAUAUUUCGAAAUUUUAAAAAUCUAAAUUUGGCAAGAAAGUCGAAAUUUGAGAUUAAAAAUUGAAAUUUCAAGAGUACAAUUAAAAUUUUGAGAUUACAAAAUGUUUAAAUGUCAGAAAAUGUUGAAAUUUUGACACUAAAAAAAUAAAAUGAGAAUAAAGUCAAGAUUUCGAGAUUAAAAACAUCAAAUUUAUGUCAAUAAAGUCGAAAUUUCAACAUUAAAAAAUCCAAAUUUUGAGAUUCAAGUCGAAAUUAAAGUUGACAUGAAUAAAGUGGAAAUAUCGACUUUUUAAAAUUUCGACUUUAAUCUUAAAAUUUCUCCUUCCUGUAAUGUAUUUUUCUUUUCUUUUUUUUUUUUGGUCCUUGUUUCAUAGAUUUGACAGCCACAGAAAAUAAACAUGAGAAGUUAUGAAUGAGCAUGUGUCGUAUGAUAAGCCCCGCCUGUAUGUUUCAAAUACAGUGGCGAUAUCUUAACGAUCUUAAUUUGAAGCAGCUCUAUGACCACACGCGUGCUGACUGCUCUGAACAGAGGCUGACUUCCCUCAUACUAACCUUUAGCUGCUUUAUGUCCAACUGUAUGACAGCUGCAGAUCCUUACUGACUCACUAAAUCUAAAAUAAACCUGUUAUCUUUAUUCUAUAUAAGAUAAAGACAAACUGCUGCUUUCAUCUGGAAGUAUAACCAAAUACUGAAAUGUGUUUUGACGGGAAGCCGAGUUCAUGAAGCCUGUUCUGGCAGACAGAGAUGACAGAUGCUAAAUGGACGUGACAUUUGCUUUCAGUGACAUUUAUAAGGCGCCAUAAUGUGGAGCGAAUACUUCCUGCAAAGUGGAGUCAUAAUAAUCGAUAUAAACCACAAGACAUGAUAAGAAUCGAUGUGAUUGUUCCUUUGCAACAGCACUUUGACUGGGCAACAGUGAGUAAAUGACAUUUUGAUCAAUAACGACACAUGUUACCGGAUUAGAUGGGUUUCCUUUUCGAGCUGCUGCAAAACAGGAUGAAUUUUAGUUGAAGUGGAGAGUAUUAAGAAGUUUGCCUUGGAUUAUAGUAGCCAAAGAAGUAUUACAAUAAAAAUACUAUCAGUGAUAAUGAUGGAAAAGUUUGAACUUACAACAACACAGUAAGUAAAAUUAUGAAAAGGCAAGAAAAGUGUCAAACAAACAGGAAAAGGACCCAACUGCAGAACAGAAGUGGUUGUUCUGCAAUAAAAGUUAACAAAAACGAACUUUAAAUGUCCAACAGAAAUAUUCAAGGCGAAACCCAAAAGACCUAAAAAUCCAAAAAGGGCAAAAACCAAAAGAAGACACUCAAGACACACUGGGAAACGAGCAACGAGAGGCAGGUGAGACACCGAGACACAGGUGAGGACAAUCACAGAGGAGGGAAAACUGAGGAAGUGAAACAAGACUAGAAACACAGGGAAUAAACUACUACAAAAUAAAACAGGAAGCACUGAGAUAAGGAAUAAAACACUGAGAACACGAGGGAACCGGGGUCAGACACAAACUGAAAACUCAAGACAAGACUUCAGGAGAACAGGAACAACUGGAACUGUGACCCUAUUUGUCCUGUUGAUGAAGUUAGGUGCUGUUCUGAGCAUUAUUUGUGGCUAUAGAGUGGCGUUUUGGUAUCGCUGUCCUGCAGUAGUUACUAAAGUUGGUUUAACUAGAGAAGCAAGCGGUCGGCAACAGUCUAACUCGGCGUUACAAUGUGUUUGACCUUAACUUAAUUUUACGCAGGAAUAUCCCUUUAAAGAGCUGAGUCAACCCAGUCCACAGAAACCAGUACAAAGGACCACCUCUAUAAACUAGAGUAUUUAGUUUAUUGAUGAUAAAUUACUACAACAGCCUUACUUCAAAGUACCGCAAACGUACUACAGCUCCACAGUGGGAUGCCACAAGGUUCACUUCUGGGUCCUCUAUACUUUAUCUAAAUAAAUUGAUUUGGACAAACAGUCUCAAACUCUGCGCUUCACUUCUAUGCCGACAAUACAAUCGUUUUCAGCUUUGUUUUAGAUCUUCAGAAAAUAUUUGACCACUUUUUCAACUGGACUUUGUUCCACUUUGUUUUUUUAUCAACAAAACUGAAAAACGGCCUCGUCUCCUCGGUACACAGUGAGAAUUAGGAAGGAAAUUACAAGGAGAGAAAGAGGAUUCAAAAUACCGUCAAAAACUCAUUUCACAAAACAUUUCAUUUUAUGACAUUAUUACCAUCCAUCCAUUUUACUACCCAUUCAUUUCACAUCCCCACCUAAUCUGCUGAGGGUCGAACGAGCCGCAGAGUCCACAGCAGCAAACCCACCCACUCACACUCAGAGCGGUUUUAAUUUUUCCACAUCGUCUAACCUGAAUGUGUUCGGAGUGUGGGAGGAAAACCGGAACUCACAGACACCCUGACCGAAGGUUUGGCCUUAAUUUGAUUGGUUACUCCAAGAGUGCGUUCGCGUCGGCCCCUCGGUGACCAAAGAGCAGCGCGAAUUUAUCACCCGACGUUUCUGAAGGAGAGACGGACGUGAAAGAGUGAAAUACGGGUUUCAUGUGUUGGAGGUGAAAGAUGAGGGUGUCAGUCUUAAAAGCCUUGUCGACAACAGCUGAUGGAUGGGCGCCACUUUCACAGACACAUAAUACACUGACCCUGCGGUGUGUGUGUGUCUGUGUGACGAAGUUUAAAAGAUUUUUAUGACGGUACUUUUGUUAUUUAACUGUGAUUUAACAUUUCUAAAGCAUGAAGAUACCCCCUCAUUUCAGAGACACUUCCCCAGAAUAAACCUCCGAGCGCACAGAGAGACUUCCAGGGAACAUAAACGUCCCACCACAGAUCCAGCUGAGCGGCUCGACCAUGAAUCAGGCCGUGUGCUUAUUUUGGCCGAGGGAGAUACAUUCCCUGCUUCCUGCAACGAGGCGAACGUUAAACCUGAUAUAAAAAAAAUCAUUGGUCAGGGCUCGAUGCUCCAUAAAUGGCCUUUAGCAGCCCAAUAAAAGGAUGAAUUUAUGAGGAAGGCCCAAUAAUCUCGAUGAGGACAGUCAUGGAUACGGUCGCUAAAUGAUCUGAGUUCCCUCCAAACAAACCCGUAAUGGUAUCAUGGUGGAUGCAUCCGUUCAGAUGAGCAGAUCCAGCUUCUGUUCACAGAUGAUCACGAGAUCUGUUCAGUUUUAUACAGCGUGGAAAAAUAGAGUCAGAUUCUGGACUAUACACCAGAUUAUACAUCACACUGUGGAUAAACGUGUCUAUGUUCACACAUAACCUGGGAUUUCAAUCUGAAGCGGCAGCGAUUUUCGCUGUCCACCAACUCCUACCAGAUCCGUUUGUGAGGCGAAUUUCAUGGGGGAUUACAGACAGCAGGAAUCAUGAGAACUCACGAGAACCCGCGGAUUCACGUUCAAUCGCACAAUAAGAAGUUGUCUCUAUAAAGACAGACACAUAGACAUAUAAGCAGUAGAUUGUGUCCUUCCAGAGGAGGAAAUCUACUUCUAGACUUCUAGAAUAAGCAUCUCCUCAUCCAUGGUGUCAUCGGGGUGAAAUGACGUCUAAAAACCUUUCACUUGUUCGUCUUCGCCGUGUUUUAUUUUGAAAAGAAGCCGGAUGUUUUAUUUUGAAAAGAAGCCGGAUGUUUUAUUUUGUGUCUGUGCCCGACUUCCUUUCCAGCACGGGUUAAUCUGUGCUGAAUUUAUCCGCCAUGCUCCGGCGUCUGGAAAAAAUAGAACUCUUGUGAUCAGCUGAGGAGUCCGGCGAUCCGCAGAGGAACGGAAAGAAGUCGGUGUAAAUUGACACGUUAACUUGAAUGGUUACGAUCAGCUACGAUCGGAGGAUACGACCUUUUAGGAGACGAUCAGGAUGAAGGUGGAAGUUGGUGGAAACAGGAAUCACUCCCAACAAAUGCAUUACAGACAGCCACUCAUGUAUGACUUGUUUGUCCACUCUGUGACACCGUAGACACACAAAAGUUGACCUGCUCCUUUUACAAAAGCAAAAAAAAGACGCUCUGAUUUAAACACAAUUGUGAAUAUUAUUUUCUAUUUUUAUCACGACUCUCAUGUAAAAUAUUGCAGACUGCACCUUUAACUCCAACAUCAACCCUCUCUGUCUAUGUGUGUGUGUGUGUGUGUGUGUGUGUGUGUGUGUGUAGAUUUAUGACUGCAAGAGUUGUGCGUGUGUGUGCAUUAGUAGUUGUAUUUCACAUGUCAGGCUUUUAGGUGUAAAGUGCUCUACUGAACACACACACACACACACACACACACACACACACCUUUUCCCUGAGUGUGGGUUGUUUAUCAAUGUUUGAAAUCAAUUUAUCCAAACAGUAAUUUACUUUCUGCAGAGAGAGGGGUCAGAGGUCAGACGAGGGAAGAAGGGUUCGUAUUUUUCAGUUUGUGUUUCUUUUUUAUUUAGAGCUCGUUUGAUGUUUUUAUUCAUUUGGAUUUAUGCAGGCAUGCUGGGAAAACAGUGGAUACGACAUAUUUGAGAAAGUACCACUCACCGCAUGAAGAGAAAUUGGAUAUGUGGACAGAAAGCAACAGACGCUGAUGUAUUUAUGGAAACGAGAGUAAAAAAAAAAACAAGUUUGAUAGAAAAAUGGAGUCGGGGAUCAAGAGUUCAAAGAGAGAGAGAGAGAGAGAGAGGAGAGAGAGGAUCUGAAACGAUAAAGAGAUUUACUCAGAGAGGAAACGAGGUUAUAGAGACGUGACUAAAGGACGGCGAAGAGUGAACACGACUCUGAGACGUAGAUCCUCCUCAUGUUUGAUAACAGCUGAGUCCGGUUUCAGGUCCGCUGUGUUCCCCUCUCCCUCCAUGACCCUCAUGUGUGUCACCUGUGUCUCUUUAUCGUCUCUCCUCGUGUGUGUUUGUCUUCCUCAUGUUUGUCCAAGUCUGUUCUGACCAAAGACCCGUUUAUUUCCACUCAGCUGAGACGAUCGACUCCAUGACUCUGUUUGAUUUGUUUUAAUGGAUAAAGUUUCAUCUCCACAGAUCGGAGGAAAGUCAGAUUUGAGCGCCUGUAAACACAGCAGCUGUUCUGCUGCCCACUUAUAUAAUCAUCAUUACACUCAGGUUUAUUGUCAUUGCGUUCAUUUUGGCGCCUCACGGUGGAAAAUUAAAUUACAAACAGAAUCUAAUGGGCCGUGAGUUUAAUGAGGCACAGUGUGUUCUGUCAACACCGUGUUCCUGCAGGAAUUGUGGACCAGAACAUCAGAGGGACGAAGAGGAGAAACUUUCCUGUCAGACGAUCGCUGCACAGAUGUUUCUCUGUUCAUGUACAGAGAUGAAAAAUCCUGAAUCUGCACAAACUCUUCUGUAAGUUUAAGAUAAAACCAUCACACUUCAAUGUUUACCUCACUUCAUCGGAGUCAUAUAUUCUCUCUUUACUGCGUCGGUUUCAGGCAGUCAAUCAAAAGCAGAGUCAGUGUAGGUGUCGUAUUUAUGCACCUGUACAGUAUGUGUAUCUCAUAAAGAAAGAACAGACGGAGGUCAAACAUGAUAAAGUCACUUUACUUCUUGUUUCUGUGUUUGCACAUGUGUUUAGACUAUAUUUACACGACAUUUCACCCUCUAUGUUUACAAAGAAACUGUGCACACCACUACGUUUUCAGAAAAUUCGUAGUUUACAUUAACCUGAGUAUAUAUGAAAUGCUGUCAACAGCAUAUCAAACAUGUGGGUGAGAGUGAAGCGAGAAGCUAAAGCCCACGUGAGCCUAUCAGAAUCCCACAUAGCAACAACAACAACAACGUCACGUCCUUCUUUCCGGCGCACAAUCUGCUGUCGGUGAUCCAAAUCUCUGGGGUUUUUUCAUUUAAAUGCAAGUUUUGGAGUUUUUAAAAAGCAUCGUUUUCAGGGGUCAGUUCUCCGUUUGCGUCUAAAUGUGAGUGUUUCUAACGGUUCUCAGUCUGUGCAGUAUCUCAGAUAUUUACGACUCUGACCACACGGCUGAAAAAAACACAUAAAAAGCUGCUCUGAUUUUCUCGUUCUUGACUUGAACUCAUGACUCGUCAUUAAGUCUGUGUCCUUGUGCCGCUUCAUUUGCAUUUCCACUAAUGUUGGUCUUUAAAGUUCAGUCGUCAGUGAUCCUCUCUUCUGUAAUUAGACGGCGUCGCCUCCUGUCUCCUCCUUUCUCCUCUUUUCUCGUUUUUCCUCGUUUCUUCAUCUCUUCAGACUAACUCGGAUGUCUUUGAUCCCAUCUUGCCCCGUAACAUCCACACUCAUUUCUUCCUCCGUCGCUGCUCCGCCUUCACCGCCGCCUCCUCCUCUGGCCUGUCAGGGUGAUUAGCCUCGUCUCAUCGGUUGCCAAGCAACCUGACUAAUGACAGUGGACUAAUUUUUCCACUCUGGUCCAGCUGUCCACAUGAAAAAGGAGGAAAAGUGUUCGUGUGUAAGAUUAAUUUGUCACAUUUGUUCUCGUUUUAAUGAGAUCACUUUAACGAGUCGAGCUGCUGCUGCACCUGUAACAUCGUUAAUCUCAUCUUUACACCCAAAUACUUCCAUGUUUAAUAUCAUCAUUAAUAAUCUGCAGUUUGUUUUAGCUUCGCAGACACAAACAGAAGUCAUCAUUUCAUGUGGUCUUUAAUUCGGAGCAGCAGGGAGGAGAAACGCGCUUCCAGAGAUAAACGAGUUAAUCACGAAUCACUCCGAGUCUGGUCCUCAUGUGCUGCAUCCUGCUGCUUCAAAUCUGACGCUCUGAGGAGAAGAUGAACAAAGAUAAUCAUGAGUUUGCAGCAACAUCGUGAAAGAUGACGUGGGUGUUAUUCUUUACACAUCUUUCUAACCAAGAAACCUUCGAGCUGAUUGGUUAUCGCGACACGAAUAUUCGCUCAAGUUGAGACAUUUUCAGCUCCCGCCCAAUUCGCAUCGUUUGUCCUGCCAGAGUAGUAGUAGAGUCCGAUCGCGUCUACACAUUGACUUAACAUGUAAGUCAUUCGCACAAAUGUGGAGACACUUUAAGUUAUAAUAAUAAUGGCAGAGUUUUAGUUUGAGGGAUCAAGACUCACCUCAUUCAUACAGUGGCUCUGUUUACAUGGGCAGUUUUAAGUGAAUCUGAUUCCAUCUGUACACAUGAAUUUAAGUAAAGAGAUCCACGUUCAGUCCGUGUUUUCAUGGGCCCAGCUGAAUCCAGCUGUAUUGUAUCAAUGGGAAUUGUUAAUAGGAACCAUUGUUUUAGUUCCGUUUUAGAGUUGCGCAUGGACGUGUUUGUGUGUGACACCGCCGGAGUUACCAGACCGAGCAGAGUAAGGAACCCUAUGUGUUGAAGUUUAAUAAAAGUAUAAUCCAGCCGGGUUACACAGCAAGAAGUGUACACAACGAAACGACACACUUUAACGCUCCACCGUCCAGUUUUUCUGUUUGUUCGCCAUGUUUGUUUUCGUUCGGGCGCGCUCUGCGUACCUCACUGCGUGGCUCUUACGUACUACCGAGCGUCUGCGCAGACCGAACACGCCUCUCUGUAAACCCAAUCCGCUCCACUCAGCCGUAUAUAUGGAGCGGAUUAUCAAUCGGCGUAGACUACCUCUUUACAAUCUGACCCGAAAUACAAUCAGAUCCGGGUGAAUCAGAUUGGCGAAGGUGUUUAUAUGAGACAUUUUGAAUCUGAUUGUAAACAGGAUUUUUGGACCCAUGUAAACGGGCCCACUGACGGCAGAAGCUGCAGAAUUAACAGACCCAAUUCAGACAACCAUCCUUCUGAUCCUUCCACUAAUCCACAGCCGCCCCUGUAGUUCGUAUUUUCGGCAUUUACACUCCUGAUUUUGUUUACAGCUGCAGUAAAUCCUUCUCUGCGUUUGACCGCUCAGACGACAAACCUGGCUCAUUCCUGUUAAGAUGAGAGCCGGUUAGGAAGCGUCCCCGUCUGCUAACUGUGUUUCAGACCGAGGUUACGCUCCUGACUGACCCUGAGGACAGUCAGUCUAAUUAGUUAAAUCCAUCUAAAGACUUAAACAGAAUCUGUGACAUGACUCCAACAUAUGUCUGAACUCGCACACCAGACUAAAGCAAAUGAUUUCAUUAUCAUUCACGUCUUGGGUCUGUCUCUCUCUCUCCUUAUUCUCUCGCUCCAGUUUGUCAUAUUUGACUCGGCAGAUGAAGAAAUGACUCUGGAAUUGGUCGACUUUUCCACACAAUUGAAUCAGAGCUGAAGCCUCAAACCGCUCCUUCAGAUUCCCUCUCUGACAUCAGCUCCGCUAUUUUCUUUUCUUGUCGUCGCCUCCUGUUGAAUUUAUGAUCGUCUUGGUCUCGAACACCCAAACAACUCAGACAGUCACACACAAUCACACCGGUCCAAUGAAGCAAGACAGGAGAGAGAAAGAGGAGCGGCGUAAUUACUGUCGCUAUCACCGCCAUCCUUUUAUCUUUCGGUGACGCAACCGGGGAGACGUAAGAUAAAAAUAGGGAGGCAGGAGGAGAAGAUGUGACGAUAAAUCGGAGGAUAAACAGGGGAUUAAAGGAGGAGGAGGAGGAGGAGGGGAGGAAGGUGGCAUGACUGUGAUCACUUCUGACAAGCUGUACUUUCUUAUGCACAAAUAUAAAUACAAACAACACAAACAUGCAAAUUCAGCCGCAGUAUAAACCUCCUGAUUCUUCUCUCUCAUCACUCUUUUCAUCGAGGUUCGACUCGUAUUUACAGCAAGAUACCGUUAAUCUAAGUUUCUGAACUCCUCAGAAUUCGGAUAAUCGAGCGUGACUUGGUGUUUAAAAAUUCAGCAGCGUCGACGAUCAGGCUGUUUGCCGACUUUGUGCAUGAUUGCUUUUUGUGUGUUUUCCUGACAGGCUUUGAUUCUUGUAAUGUAGUCUACUGAAGCCUUUGUAAUCACAAAAUACGGCAUAUAUUAGAGGUGCGUUUGAUUCAAGCCUGUUUUAUAUUCUGACUCGACAACCCCGAGUUUGAAACAGCUUUGACAUUAACCCUUUGAACUCCAAGCUUUAUUUUGCUAUUUUUAGUUCGCCUGUUUGUGGAAAUUGAUCCCAACAGAACUUUGCUCCAAAACCACAUAAAUCUACAGUGACCAAGCCUUUUCUCACCUGCACAUCAUUCUCUCAAGUCUUGUCUAUCAGGAGAAGAAAUAUUGGGAUUGGAACAAACACACAACAGAAACUAUUGACAUAUUUACACUCAUUCUUCCAGGCGUUUUUGACUGUUUACAGUUGUUUCUGCCACUCCUGGGAUGAGACAGAGGACCACAUCAUACUGCUCAGAAUCUCUUCUUCACUUGUUUCCAAACAUUGAGGGAACAAUAGAAGAUGAGAGUUAAAGAGCUUGGACCUGAUCUUUGCAGGAGAAGAUGAGAGUUAAAGAGCUUGGACCUGAUCUUUGCAGGAGAAGAUGAGAGUUAAAGAGCUUGGACCUGAUCUUUGCAGGAGAAGAUGAGAGUUAAAGAGCUUGGACCUGAUCAAACAGACAUUAAAAUAAACCUGCAUUUAUUUGAUCGAGGGAGGAAGUGCAGUUUAUGAAUCUUUAGGAUCCGGUCCUCUAAGGGUAUGAGAAGAAUAUGAGGCCGUGUAAUUGGUCUAAAGUUUGGCUUGUCAAACCUGGAAGACAUUAGCGGCAUUUAGCAAUAGCGAUCUUUUUCGAUCACAACAAUUUGAUCAAUAAUCCUGUUUUCACCGUAUAUCACUGCGGAUUUACCAUCAAUCGUCUCUGAUCAAACACCUGUUUUUGUGGCUGGAUUGUAAACCUUGUGGCAGGUGUAGAAAUGUCUGGAAACCCUCGAUAGAUCGACAAAAGGGUAAGCUUUUGAACACUUUUUAUCCCGUAGAGAUACACUGUAAAAAACUAUAAACAAUAAUAAUGGCGUCACGUGGGAUCGACGGCGAUCCAGCGGAGUUCUGAGUGCUGGAUAAAAAGUGACUUCUCUUAUAUUCCAGAUUCAGCAGUCAGAGGUUCAGAGUUCAGUCCUGCAGACUCAGAACCUCAGGCAGCUUUGUCCUGUCUGUUCUUCCUUCAGGCUAAAGUCUUAACGUGACGAAGCGUUCGUCCUCGGGGCGUACUCACCCUGCGGCUGCGAGACGACAGGUCACGUUUAGUAAAAGAGACUAAAACCUCUGAAAUAAAGCAGGGUUGUAAAAUUCAGUCGACAAGUUUACAUACAAACAACAUAUGGGAGUCCCACAAGGCUCAUCCUUAGGCCCGCUCCUUUUUUCCAUGUUUAUCGAUGACCUUUCCGUCCUUCACUCUGCUGAAAUUCAUCUAUAUGCUGAUGACGCAAUUGUUUAUACGUACGGUAAAUGGAAAAUCUCAUCCUCACAACUGCGUAUUGUCUAAACCGUAAAAACUCGCCCUCCUCUCUCUCUCUCUCUCUCUCUUUCUGUCAGUACCACACCUGCUGAUAUAAGUGCUGGGCUCAUCCCUUCACCUCCACCACCUCCCCCCAGCAUCCACCUGCAGGCUCCGACUACAGCUGGUUUAAGACCUAAUCUCAUCACCGCUCAAUUUUCUGCAAGAAAAAAUAAAUCUUCGAGGAGGUCCGGGCCUGGAAGCUGAGCUGUUCUGAUGCAACAGACUAUUUCAAACCAUCAGAAAUGUGAAGUGUCUGACAGGAAUACAGAAAAGUUCGAUAAAUAUUUAUGUGCCGGUCGGAUUGACGAGUCCUCUUUGGAUAAACGCGGUUCGAGAGCCAAGAGUUUGAUUCCAUUCCAGGCCACACCAAGGACUGGGAUGUAGACUAACUUAACUGGCCGACACUGAGCCUGAAUGCUGCUGUUACUGGCCUAGAUAUGUUAUGAUAAAAUGACUAUGGCUCAUUAACCUGCUGUAGACCGCACUUAGCGUGUUAGCUUAAACUGUUUUGGCGCGGUACUUUAAUCAUACCUGGUUUGCUUCUCUGGAAACGCCUCUUAUUUGUUGCACUUCCUCUUGACUCCCUCCUUCUUCCUCUCUGCCUCACCUUUCCCUCUCUUCCUCCUCACUUCACCUGGAAUUAAUGCUGUACUGCCGACUGAGAAGCAGUAGGAUGUCAACAUUAAAUCAAGUCGGGAUUAAUCGCACAGUGAGAUCGUAUCUUGUUCGUCGGGUAGAGAUAAACAACCCCGAGUCUCAUUUUGCAUGUUUCAGUGCAAACCAACUCUACGCCGUACAAACGCUCCUACAGCUGCUUCUUUGGCGAUGGAGAUGCAAAGCUGGCAGACUAGUGAAGAGUCGGUUCAGAGCGAUUUCCCAGACUGGAGAAGCAGCAAGUGGGUAAUUAUUGAACGCGUCGUGAGGGAGUCAUUAAUAUCAUAUUUUGCAGCACGAGUCACACAUUCAGAGGUCUGUUCGCUCACUCCUGCUGUUCUAACUUCAGGUCAAGUGGACCCUCAGGCCUACUUACACAAUUCCCAAAUUAAUAUUAGCACCACAUGCAGUUUUAAAUUGUUGCUUAGAGCCGAAAAUCUGGUGAAACGACUUCGGGUAUCCACCGUUUUUUUCAUUUUGCAUCAUCAGCGGGUCAAAUGCCGGUCCUCAUACUCCGACACGAGCCUCUUUAGAGAGCCUCCUGUUGCUCUACAGCUGCUCUCUGUGAAUGUAGAGAGUGACAAAGAGCAGCAGGUCCGUGUUGUAGAGCAGCUGCCAGACUGAGACGGUUAACAGUCUGCAGAGAGCCCACGCUGUGUACGAGGAGGGAGGAGAGUUCAGCAGACAACACGCGUCCUUCGGCGAGAUUCGAGUUUGCUAUUAUAUCAUUUUACGGCUUUUAAUUAGCUGCUUCUUCCAGAGAAUGAGGAUGUUUUUUUUCUAGUUUGGGGGUUUUCAGACAAAUUAUCGGACUGUUAGUCUGUGUUAAACUCAUCAUUGAUCGGGUAAUAUCCUGUAAUUUGCUCCUCUGAGGAUCUAACGAGUGAAUUUACAGACUUGAAUUCUUGCCACAACUAAAAGGAUUAUAAUACAUAUUUUUUUUACAAUAAUGCGCUUUUGCUUUAUUUAAUGUGUCUCCAUUCAUUACCUCCACCGCUUCCUGUAACCACCGCUCUCAUCACUAACUCCAUUGACGUAUUUAUCCGUCUGAAUGUUUCCUGUUGUCUGAUUCUCUCCAGUAGUCCCGCUGUUGAGCAUUAAUGUUAAUUACUCCUUAAUUGAAGCGUUUACCUCGUUAAAGCUCUCUCUAUCUCUCAUUAUGUGCCAAGAGUUGAUUUGUUGUGUUGUUAUAAUUAGGAGACGGCAUAAAUUACCUCACAAUUACCAAUGUAAAAAGUUCUCUGUUUGUUUAAUGCAACAAAAAGUUUGUUUUUUUAACGCUAACUUAUUGAAAUUGACAAUCAGAGUGGAUCGGACGACCUCUCCGAGCUUUUCUCUCUGCCAGUUUUGAAGAAACUUGGACAGCGGUGUUGGGGAGUGAGAGCUGACUUCUUUAUUUAUCCUUGAAGAGUAUUUUCAUCAUUCGGUUUGUUUUUCCACAACUAUGAGCUCUGGCGUCAAAUGCAUGAAAGAAGUCCAAGGCUGACUCAUGCUUUGAACUCUGCCUGGGUGUUUGCUGAUAUGUUUCUUGGAGCGAUGCAGAGGCGUCCCCGUUUGACAUCUGUUCUACGACCCAAAUGCCAAGAAAAUUAGAAUAAAGACAAGAUUAAUGGAUUUAAAACAGAUGAAAUAUCUGAUGUUGAAGGUGAAAAAUUUGGCUGUUUGAUGGAGAAUAAAUGCUCACUUCAAAUGUCCAGAGAAACUGACCCCCAACGAAAACGCCGCAUCCUCCGAUCGUAGCUGACCGUAACCCUCCAAGUUAACGUGUCAAUUUCCAACGACUUCUUUCCGUUUCGCAGCUGAUCGAGAGGGCAGCCGCAGCAGCAGCAGCGUGUUCAGCUGGACUCAUCUUCAUCUGCUUCCAGCUCCACUGACCUUUGAAGACUUACAAGUGCUAAUGGAGACACUAAUUUAAGACGUCUCUAUAAUAGCUAGAACUUCUUCUCCUCUUUCUCGCCGUCCCCCUUCAUCAUCCCCCAUUACCUGAGGAUUCUCGACACACAUAUAAAGAGGCUCUAGACCACAUAGAUACAGACAGCAUAGAUCUAUUUAUGCUGACUGACAUUCAUAAUUUAAAUUACAGGCAGAGCGGGUAGGAGGCUGCUUAAGUGCGCUGACUGAACAGCAUAAUGUAGAUGUUUGUGAAAUGGUGUAUAAUAAGCCUCGUGAAAUUAUACACAUGGUAUUCUGCUGUUAGCCCACUAUCCAUCCCACAGCAUUACUUAGUGUCACAGCAGGCACACCUUUCAGGUGCCCCAGGUGGUGGAGAUCUCAGCGAGGCGUGCACUGAACGGGAUACUUAAAUAUCAUCAGCAUAGAAGAGGAUCUAUUCUUUACCCCGAACUACUAAACUUUGAUUUCAGCUUCUACAAGCAGCUGUUUUUUUUUUUUAUGUGCAAGAUACGACUACCAGACACUCGUGAUCCCCAAAGUGAUGCAAAUACUGGCUUUUGAACCACCAAGUGUUACCUGGGAUUUUCCACCAAAUCCGUAACGGUGGCGAUUUUCACUGUUCGCCAAUUCCUACCAGAUCCAUUUGUGAGACGAAUUUCGUGGCGGAUUACGGACAGCAGGAAUUGUGAGAACUCCGCGGAUUCACAUGCAAUUGCGCGAUAACGAGUUGUCUCUAUAAACACAGCCACAUAGACAUGUAAGCAGUAGAUUGUGUCCUUCCAGAGGAGGAAAUCUACUUCUAGAAUCAGCGUCUCCAUGCUCCGGCGUCCGGAAAAAAUAGAACUCUUGAUCUCUCGAUCUAGAAGAGAGUAGGUGAGUUGUGUUUAGUCUCUUUGCUAAAGAAAUGAGUCAAAGUUAAAAAGAUGUUUGGUUACUAGUCCUAUGUCUGUGACCCUAUAUGUCCUGUUGAUGAAGUUAGGUGCUGUUCUGAGCAUUAUUGCUAUUGUAUUACUAUCCUGCGGUCGUUACUAAAGUUGGUAUAACUAGAGAAGCAAGCGGUCGGCAACAUUCAUCUCUCGAUGGGUUGUCUAACUUGGUCUUUCGGUGUGUUUGACCCUAACUUAAUUUUACGCCGUAGAAAAAUAUUGGAUAUCUUAUGAGCCGACUGCGAUGAAUCCCAGUGGUCCUCCUGGGGCUGAUCCAGUAUAUCAGUGUCCUUGGAGACCGGUCACUCAGUGGUCUCAAAGAAUCCUUAAAUCUGCAGAAUUCAUGAUCAUCGCAGUCUUACACGGGCAUCAUUUUGACUUUAACGUAACAGCUGUUCAUCUUCUCAGUGUAUCAUGAACUCUUUGUUUACCUCUUUGUUUUCCUGUAUCCUCUAUCACUCCUUUAUUCUCUUUCUCGGCUCGACUUUGAUCAAUGAUUGAUUCCUGCCUUCAGUCUGCGAGCCAGAGUAACAAUCGAUGGACCACAGCGGCAGCCUUUUGAAUAUCCAACCUCUACUUUUCAUCAAAUACAAAGAGUAUUACGUUUGUGGGAUUUCCGCCUCUGUAAUGAUAGUAAUCUGCGGUUGAAAGAGAAAUGCUGGAACAGGAAUAGUGGGUAAAAUCAGGCGCAGAAAUAUGGGAGACUGUGUGGCUGAGUCUGCAUCUUAAAAGGAAGCAAUUUAAGAGUGAUUGCGACGCGGCAGAAGGAGGAUUUUCCAUUUCACAAGCUCCGAGCGCUGCCUUAAAAUGUGUCCUUCCUUUAACAGGCCUCAGCAGCUCCAUAAGGCACAUCCCCGGUGACCUAACCUCUCCUCAGCUUCAUUGAGUGCCACGUCAAGGGUAGAGAAAUCCACUUUAGUGUGUAAAUAUCUGCUAACUGUUCGAUCAAGGAGUCAGCGUUACACAUGUCCGACAGUCGGACUGUUCUGCCCAGAUAAUAUGGAUGGGGAUCGGUUUUCUUUUGCAUCUUAAUCGGACUGAAACGGGCCGAAGCAGAUCAAUGACAGCGAAGUUUGGGACCCUGUCGUUCCUGCAAAAGCCCUGAUGAUCAAAAACACUGUGAUCACACAGGAAGACUUACUGGCAGAGCUGAUGCACUUGAUUACUUUAGGUGUUGUUGCCGAUUAGUGAGCAUGUUUAUGUCCGUGUGUUGCCAUGGUGAUCUCUAAAAGCUCUGAAGCUGUGUGGUGGAGUGUGCAGUCAGCUGAUCGACGUUUCUAACAUCCUUCUCUAACUGACCCCUGCCGCACACUGCGGAUGAUUAAUGACUGGACUUCAAUUGGGCCCGAUCAAUACUCAACACAGAGAUGGGUGUAAAGUUGAAAAAACUAAAAUAUGAACACUUGACCUGCAGACGAUCCAGAAACCUUAAUUUCCCCCAUGAGCUGUUAGUCACGGCCGCUGCCGCCGCUGUAUCCAACGGACAGUUCAGUCACACUGAGAUCACCGUCUUCCCACCUGGUCCUUUAACCUCCUGCAGCACGUUUCUGUCGAGACUCUCCCUCUGUGUACUCGCUCGAACUCUGCAGUGACCCCGAGGUGAGAAUCCUGCUUUUAAAAGCCUCUUUAUUUGAGGUUAAUAAGGCUGACGUGAUCGACAUGGACACAGCAGAAAUAGCCCCGCAUAAUGGCAGACCCGGGUGGACUUGAGUACAUGUGAUUGGUGUGGAUCCCCCCGAACCUCCUGACGAUGUAGACUCGUGUACUUCAGUAUGGCGAAGGUAACUGUGCUCAAACAUGGAGGUCAAAGUUAUGGCGUGGAGGUCAUGCUGUACGAUAAGACAGUUCUGUCAUUUCUGCACGCCGUCCCCUGUGGAGGUUUUGUUUAAAGGGAUAUUCUGGCACAAAAUUAAUUUGCUUAAAUAAACAUACAGUCAUGUCCUGAAGGUUGGAUGAUGAAGAGAUGGCAGACUGCUCACAAACUAGCUGUAGCAGCGACCUGUAAAAACAUGUCAAAGUAAAAGCGUAACAAAUAAUCAGUUUUGAGUCAAUUACUCAUUUACUUUUUAGUUCCUUAUCUUUAUUUUGUUUGACCUUUUUAACGUCUCUCUACUUGCCUCAUCUGUAAAAACUCGUAUUGAGUCUUUAAACUCGACAAAUAAAACAUUAACGGACUGAAAUCCUCCUCUCUGCAUAUCCGCCACAUUUUCACUGCGUUGAAAAAGAUGUCUGAAGAUCUGAUCCAUCACAGAGGCUUCAAAUUAUAUCACCCACAUAUGAUUUCCUCGAGGUAUCACAGGGAAUACCAAAGCCACAGAUUUUUAUUUCCAAGCAGCAGGAUAAAGCGAGAGAUAUUAAGAAAUCAUUUCCACUGAUCUGUCAGACUGGUUCGGUGAGCUGAAGCUGAAAAAAUCUAUGAGAUAAGAAAAGGACAAAAGCAGGAUCAGGGAUGAGUCAAAAAUGAAAUAUUCUCUUUGUCUGUUUUUGCUUGACCUGAAAAAACUGGAGGGCGAGGUUCGGGUUUCUGCUCCUCCUUAUUGUAAGAUCUGACUUUUCCCCAAACACCAUCACAGAUGCUCCUCAAGAUGCUCUGCAGGAUUAAAUCUGAGGAGAUUUUUCACGGUUAGAGAUCAGGAUUUUAAAAAGCUGCUCGACUAAAACUUUAAAGUUUUUGAUUUUUGGCAGCAGAAAGCGUGACUAUCAGAAACCUAUUGUUAUCCACUGAAGCACAGGGAAACAAACUCAUUCAAUAGACCAGCGGUAUAUGAUAAUAAAACUGAUUACAUUCAUACGCUGAAGGUUUAACCCCCCCGUGAGUGGAACGUGAGUGUCAGCGGUGGGCUGCAGUUUCCACGCCGUGCACGACGGUCGACUCCGUCUCUGAUAAAAGCUGCAGUGAUUACCGUGUGAUGACUAAACAGUCCUGCAGCAUUUUGAGACGCUUUCAGCGCCGUUUCAUUUCCCUUAUAAACACCUCUGAGGCUGCACGCCAUCACUUCAACCAGGCGCACCACAGAUCUUCACGCAGGUCUCGUCUCUUUUAAUUUCAAUAAUCGCUCCUUGAAUGCAGCGUUGAUCUUGUCGCUGAGGGUGUACCAAAGGUGAUAAAAGUGAGUGUGCGAUAAAGUCUUCCUAGAAAUUACUCUGGAGCGACAUUUGUGUGAUUUGGCACCUUGGCUGUAAACUGCACAACUGGUGUUUUAGUUAUUGCAGGUAUUUAGAUGGAGUGUGAUUGGUGUGGGAUGGUGAGAGGUCCGGGGUCCAAAGAGUGAAGGAGAUCUGAGCAGAGCUUAAGAGCAGGUGGUGAUCAGGUUGAUCAGGUGCAGGUGUGAAGGUGUAGGAGGAGCUUCAGCUGAAGAGGAGCCGCCCAAAAGAGACUCCACAAAAAAACACAAAAAACAGCCUCCAUGUGUCCCUCAAGUGUUAAAACCAGUUUAAUCAUGACAGGGAGACUGCUUUUAGGUCUGGAUAUGGAUCAAUAAUGAAAUAGCCAAAGACGAACUUUAAAGGUCAUUGGAUCGCAACGAUGGCUGAAGGUCCAAAGAGUGGCUUCAUGAUACUAAAACUGAAGACUGGGUUGAGAGGAGUUCAGUUUAUGAUGCACGAUAUUUUCUUGCAAAGAGGAGAUAAAACAUCAAAUCAAGAACCUGCAGAACCUUUUAGGGCAGCGGUUCUCGAGUCCAGUCCUGCAUAUUUUGGAUGUUUCCCUGCUCUAACACACCUGAUUCAAAUGAUCAGCUCGUUAUUAAGUCAUUCCAGAGCUUCAUAACGAGCUGAUCAUUUGAAUCAGGUGUGUUGGAGCAGAAAAACAUCCAAAACAUGCAGGAGAGUCGAGCAGAUCCACAACCAUGACAGAUCCACAACCCUCUUUUUAAUGGCUGUUCCACACCCGGAAAUUUAACUUAAAAAACAUGUAAAUCAAUAAAUAAGUGACCGCAGUCACAUAUUUAUAUUUUAAUCUAGAUUUUAUUCAUUUUACUUUUUUUUUACUUGUCAUCUUUUUAUGUUUUGCCUGCCUACCUAUAAUAUUUUUGGUUUAUUCUACCAAAAUAUCAACUUAUAUUAUCCCAAUAUCAGAGGGAUUGGCCUUACUUUUAUACUCUUCAUUCCUUGGCGAUGAUUUUGACCCCCUGAGUGCAAUAGUCAGUGUCUGCAGAGCCACAUGAACAUAUUGAAUGUGAUAUUUUGUCUGUUUUUCUCAUAUAUUUUCACGUGCAAUCUCAUGCACAUUAUUUGACAUCGCACUUCUGUGUCAUUCACUACAAUGCUAGUAGCCUACAGGUUAAAUCUUGCAUUUCCGACUUCCGACAUGCUAAUGUUAGCAUUAGCUUGACCAAGAUUCGAUGUGUAUUUCAGACUAUAAUGGAAAGGGUUAGGGAAAAUGUCAUGAAUGGAGCCUUUCACAUUGACAUUUAUUUCAAAUUCAAGACAACAGUUUUAUUGAUAACUAAAAAAAAUAUGUGAUUCACGUUCGAUACGCGAUCAUGACGUCGCUCCAUUCAAGCCGAUAACUUUCGAGAAAGGAGCAGCGUUAAAAAGAGGGUUGUAGAUCUGUCACGGUUCUCCAGCUCUGCAGACACCCGCUACGCUCCAAAAGAGCUAAGAUAAGCAAAGCCAGACUUCAGAGCAAGUUCUGUUGGUUAAAAAGUAAAAAAAUACAACAAAUAACGUGCAAUAAACUUCAUGUAACUGGUCAGUAAAAAAUGAGUUAAUGCUGUUUAAUAUCCUAACAAUGUUUGUGUUGUACUCAAACUCAAGAGGUUUUUAAACCCGUGAACAAACACACUCCUAAGUGAUGUAACAGCAGCCGGUCUUAUUUGUAUGAGACCCGAGGGAGCCUCUCAAACGCCGUCAAGACCACGAAGUAAGUCACGCUUAUUAUGGAAAUGACGACAGCUUGACAGGCGUGAAGCUGAUUUAUCCAAAUAAGCUGUAAAGGCGCUUUCUAGCAGAGAAAAUCCAUAUGUUUUCAUUAUGUAUCUCAACAACAUGAUGCAACAAAGAUAAAUCAUGAAGAACAGUCUGUGGAGGAGCUCCUUUAUGUGUGAAGGACGUCUUAUUAAAGCCCGAGUAAAGAGUCCAUUUACAGAGAACUUGUACGAUCAGCUCUAUAAAAGACUUUUCAAAGUUUGACCACAAACAUUUGUCCAACUUUUUAAAAUUCAUGAGUUUACCCUCGAAUCGUCUGCAGACUUCUAAGCCCUCGAAUCGAUGCCGUGUCACUCUCCACCUCCGCUCUAACGGGGCGCCUGUGCGGUCUGCGGACUCAGAGGGGUCGGUCUUUCAUCAUUCGCUCGUGGGCGCGCUCAGAACCUCUCAGACACACGGGAGCUUUUGAGAAUCUAAAUGCUGAGAAAAAAUGACUCUGCUGAGCAAAUGUGCCCUCAGACAAAGCGAGCGGCUCCAAUCACAUCAAGCUGCUUCGAAUGGAAAUCCCUGCCUCACAUUUGGCCUCAUCACUCACAGACAUACUGGCCUUCAGGGGUGUUUUUUAUGAGCUUGUUGUAUCCUACAUUACACAGGAGUGUCUGCCACUCUGAUUGGACGCCCCCAGAGUUUAAACGAGUUUGGAGAGCGGACGUUAAAGGAACGGCGUCGAGGAAAUACAGAUAACUUUCUCCUUUAAUAUGUUUCUUCUGAACCCUCUGGGGAUGAAGUGAAACUUUUAAAUGAAAGAAAAAUGAAAGCGGAGAGGUUCGCCCAGACAACAGGUCUAAUCUAAAUUCUGCUGACUCCAGGAAAAUUAAUUUCAAAGCCCUGAAGAAGCUCAAAGGGAAUGUUUGAAUAGAAAUGAUCAUUAAUGAGCUGAAAGGGUCAAAGUACUCCUCAGAGAAGAAGAAAGUUUAUCUUAAAGGAAGAGGCGUCAGAAGUGUUUGCUUUCUGCUCACAUAUUCAUGAGAAAAGCAGACGUGUGUUUGUUCGACACCCACCGCCCCUGUGUCCUCUGUUCGGAUCACCCAGCCUGACUUUGAGAGGUCAGAUCUCCUCGACGUGAUAUCUGGCUUUGGCUUUGCAUGGCAGCGUUUCACUCGUAGACGAACUCUGUCCACAUUGUUAGAUCUUCUUCUGCAAAGGCAGCAGAGCUCGAGAGUCCAUCUCUUAGUCACCGACUGAUACAAGAAAAAACUGUGACAAUAGCAGCAGCAUAAAGAAUCAGACUUUUGAUCUGCAUCUGGGUCUGGUCUCAGAUUAAGGGUUCGGAUAUUCCGGUGAUUUUACGCCGGAGUAUCCCUUUAAUAGACUGAUGAAUCUAAAUACUAAUCUUCAAUCUCCUUGGGAGGCUGGGGGUCCAUACUGCAGAGCCAGAAAGUCUGAAAAGGUUGGCGGUCCAGGAUCAACCAAACUAAGACCUGCACCCGUGGUACGAGGGUUCAGAUCCAAUGCCGAACUAAGACUCAUUGCUGACUUCCUGUUUUCUUGAAGGGCUUUUUUUCGGAUCUACUGCACAUGGAGUUCCUGUAUCAUCUGUUUCAGUGACUCCUGGAUCUUUUGUGGGGAUUGUGUUAAAAAAAAAAAGACGUUUAAAGACCCGUAUCAGACAUCAAAUGACUGAAAGGACAAACACAGUUAUAUAGAUCCUGUCUAAACGGCUCAAUUACCUCAGACCUGAUUGAAAACGAAUAGAUCUUUGUUUCUCCAUCGAUGGUCCCGCCCCUGUUGGCCUCCUGUUAAGUGUUAUAUUUACCCUCAGCAGCAGGAGGCCUUUGAACCCGUUAAUAGCUUCUCCUGAAGUGUGCAGCGGUAAAAGGAUUGGGCGUGUUUGAUGUCAGGCCUGAAGAGACGUCUGGCGUGAUGAAAACAUCACCGAAAGAGAGAUAUGAUAGAGCAGAGAGACGGAGAGAGGCUGGAGUUACAGAAGAAGACUAUGUGUUUCAUCACGUCUUCUUUUUUUCAUCCAUGUAGACUUAUUCUCCGACUUCUGAGCCAGACCCACAACCUGCUAUCUCCACUAAAACUCAACAAUCCAGGCUCUGGUGUGUGUGAGGAGGACGCUACAAAGAAAACAUCCAGACAUCCGGAUCUUCCUGAGGGGAUUCUGGGUCGUUACAAAUCCAGGUGAGAUCUUCAAUCUCUGCAACUUGUCAUGGGAAGACCUCCAUCCAAACCACCCCGACCAGAUCUUUCACUCAGUGUGUUUACAUGCACAGCUCCAACACCAAUGUGGAGUGAACAGUCACACACAAACAGAUCAAUAAAAGUAGUUAGAACUACAAAACUGCUGUCAUCCACAAACAGCACACAAAGAUCCAACAAAAGGGACUGCCGCCACCACAACACAGAUGGGCAACAAGUCAAACAAACAGAACAUACCGUUAGGAAUACAAAGCAGCAACACAAGUGACACAACACCAAAUGUGGACUGCAAACCACCACACAAAAUGGUCACAUGGCAACCACCACUACACAAAUGUUGCCACCAACAAUCGUCACACAACGGUCCUAACUGUAAUCACACAAAGUGACCGAACAAAAAUGGGUAGCCUUCUGAAACACACACAUAGUACUGUAACACAAAACAAACAGGUCGUAUGAGACUGCAGAUACAAGAGCUGAACCUCAACGAGCGUUUAGAUCGUCUGACAUCUUGUGACGAUCAGUGACUAAUUCAGAUUAUUUCGUCUUUAAACCUCGACAUGAACAACGAGAGAUAAAAAAAGUUUUUUCCUCCACAUUUUAUUAUUCUUUUUUUAUCUUGAUGACUCCGUCCAGAAACCAUCACUGCAGUAUUUCACUGUGAACUUGUCUCUCUGUGUCGAAGCUUAUUAAAUAAAAUAUAAAACACAGGUGAGUGGCUCCGUUGCAAACCCGUUAACAAGAUACUUUUGAGCCUUUGCCGACUGCUCGGAUGUUCCCCUCAAGCAUUUCUGUCUGUCUUUCCUCCAACAUGAGCAAUAAACAAAAGCUCUUGUCUUCUCCAAGUCCCUCUGGGUUUGAUGUGCGCAUCAAGAUACAAACAGUCCUCUCAGCACCUUGAGAGGCUGCUAAACAAGCAGCGGAGUGCGUUGUUUAGUCUCCUCUUUCCCUCGCUCUCUUUGCUCGCGGUUAUCUGCUCCACUUAUCCAGCUGAGGCCCGCUGCAUUGAGACAUGAUGCAUUCACCGGAGGGAUCGCUCCUCCUCUCGCUCGGGCCUCGCAGAAAAGAAAUGACCAGCGGUGGCAGGAGUCCAAGCUCUUAAGGAAGAACAGACGGCCAAGCAGACUCCAGACUGAAGCCAAGAGUCCGUGUAACGUGGUUAUUAUCUUUGAUGAAGCCUCCUCUGCAGGAGCUGGAGUAAAACUUUCACAGUUUGGAGAUCAACUGAAGAACAGGCAGAAAUCCUCAAACUGGAGGAUUACAUGAAGAGCUGGAGAGCAGACGUUUUUAUUCCUGAAGGUUUUAUUUACCUGUUCCCAUUUAAACCUCAGUCACCAAUCACUGUCCUGUAUCCAUCCAGUCAUGUCUUCCUCUAAACUCAGACAACACCUACAGGAUCAGACUUGACGGGAUAUUCUGCAGAUCAAGGUGAUGCUAACCACGCUCACCCUGCUGCAUUAUUGAAAAGACGUGAAAACCUCAGAGCGUCUCAUUUUCAGGACUUCCUGCAGCACCUAAAGGCUACAUCCUCUCACCCUGAAGAAGAACAGCUGCUCCUCCUGCUGAUUAACCUGCUGCUGUUGUAAAAAGUGAGUUUAUUGUUUGCAUUUGAUCCCAUUAAUUGUGCAAUUUCACUAUUUCAACCUUUAAAUGGUUUUAGUCUUCCCUAAGAGAUAGAAAUGAGAAUAUUUGCAUUAAUAAUCAUGUGUCUUUUGCUGUGAGGAGUUCCCCAGGGUUCAAUCCUCGGUCCUUUCCUGUUCUCUCUCUACACACUUCUUCAGGGUGAUCUGAUCAGCUGAUUCAACAAUGUAAAAUCUAAAAACCUGAAUCAACCAUCCUGAAUUUACUCCAGCUUUAAACAGAAAUCCUGCACACUGGACUGACACCUUCUAAACGCUUUAUCCGACCAUCACAGCCGAAUGAAAACCAACUUCUGAAAAUGCAGCUGAUUAAAUAAAUCCUUUAUUCACCCAAAAAGUUAAUCUGGUCAAGUUUUGCUUAUUGAUUGACAGUAUUAAUUGAUGACUUGUUACAAAACAUAACACCAUGUAUCAGUAAAGGGAAUCAAACCUGCAUAAUUGAGGCCACCUGUUGCUUACCACUGCUGCUAACAGGGAUAAGAGACAGAGCGACACGGGGAACAAAGCUGCACAAAAGGAUUAGGAUUAGUUCACCAGGAUUUAUAGAGAAUUUUUAGCCUUUAGUAACCAUAGUUUUUAUCACUUUUACAUCUUCAUUUCUGAGGCUCAGAGGUAACUACUCGACUGGUGUAGAUCAAAAGUAAACCCAUUACAGACGUUGUUAAUCUGAUAAACUGCGAAAUGCUGAUCCUAGAAGUGCUAAAACCACUGAUCCAUGAUGGUUCAGAAGAAUCAUUUUCUUUAGGGAAGGCACUCCUUUCCUCUUUUUUUGUAAACAUUUAAGAUGAUCGGUGUUAAAAUAUGUGAUUGAGGCUGAAAAAAGAAAGUUCCUGCUACUUUUCCAUUGAGGGAAAAUGUCUCUUCAUGCUCUUGUCUUAGAAAAUUACAGGGUUCAAAUUUAGAGCAAGAAGACAAUAAAGCUCCAAAACAAAAAACAGCAUCUUUGAAAAACAGACAAAACAUUCAAGACAGUAAACAUCUGGGUAGGUGUGCUGCACAAAAAGUUCAAAAUAUAGAGUUUAGAAAACCUCUCACCACAGAUUUAAACGUCUUUAUUGUAAAUAUUAACAUCCCAAACAGGAGACAGCAUCACCAUCUGUGGCUCAACUUUUAAUCCAAACACUGAAAACACAACAUUAGAUUCACCUCAUUAAUUUGUCUCCAAAGUAAGUACCAGGAUGUAAUUAAACUCACCAAAUAUAACUCAGUGCUGCAAGGAAUCAAAGUAAAUGUCAAGAUUUCCUGCAGUGAAUUUAAUAUUCGAUGCAUCUGGGUCAGGACGGAAAUAAUUACCUGAUCCUGUUAGUUUAUCUUUCAAAGUGUCAUCGGCUCAUUUUCUGAUCUGGACUCAUUAGACUCGUGCAACCACAGCGACGGAAUAUUUGUUCAUAAAUCUUAUUUUAGCAAAGAAGGAAAUCAAAUAAGGAUGAGAGUAAAAUCACAAAAGGGUUUGAGGAUCUGAUCAAAGAGAGCUGCAGUUUUAGUGAUGAGAGUGAUUUCUCUUUGAAUAGUGCGAGGAUGGAUGUUUUUUUAAAGCCUGCAAAGAUAAGUCGGAAAUCUCAGUGUCAGUGGGUGUUUGCAAAAAAGAUCUGAAGCAGCAAAAACUUGUUUUACCGCUCAGAAGUAAUUAUUUCCUGAGCUCAGAGACGCUUUGUUGGUUUCUCUGUCUGUAAAUGAUCGACUCUGGCUCAAAACAGACCUUUAAAAAAACUAAGGUCAUGGUGAGUGUCUUCAUUUAGAUCCAUUUGAUACCAUAUGAUAGCUGGAAAAAAAGAGAGGAAACCUUUAGGAUAUACCGGAUGACAGAAGCACAGAGGAUAGAAAGGGUUUUAUAGACGUUCAGAGUCUUAUUCAUAAUGUAACUAAAAGCAGAAUUCAGAAGUGCAAUGCAGAUUGCAUCAACACGGCAUCUGCAACUAUGUUCCAGAACCCUGAAACAUCAAAUCAGAGAACCCUGAAACAUCAAAGCAGAGAACCCUUAAAACAUCGAUGCACAGAACCCUUAAAACAUCAAUGCACAGAACCCUGAAACAUCGAAGCACAGAACCCUGAAACAUCAAAGCACAGAACCCUUAAAACAUCAAGCAAUCAACACGGCAUCUGCAACUAUGUUCCAGAACCCUGAAACAUCAAAGCACAGAACCCUGAAACAUCAAAGCAGAGAACCCUUAAAACAUCGAUGCACAGAACCCUUAAAACAUCAAUGCACAGAACCCUGAAACAUCGAAGCACAGAACCCUGAAACAUCAAAGCACAGAACCCUUAAAACAUCAAUGCACAGAACCCUGAAAGAUCAAAGCACAGAACUCUGAAACAUCAAUGCACAGAACCCUGAAAGAUCAAAGCACAGAACCCUUAAAACAUCAAAGCACAGAACCUUGAAACAUCGAAGCACAGAACCCUGAAACAUCAAUGCACAGAACCCUGAAAGAUCAAAGCACAGAACCCUUAAAACAUCAAAGCACAGAACCCUUAAAACAUCAAAGCAAAGAACCCUUAUAUAUCCAUGUUGUGGGUUUACAGACAGAUACCACAGGGCUAAAGCCGUAGUUUCACCUCUCUUUCUCUCAUCCAAUAAAAAUUAUUUUAUUUUGCAAACACACACACACACACACACACACACACACACACCGACUGGCAGAGAGAGAUUUCCAUCAGCUUCUGGAAGUCCAGAAUUUUAAUGAACCCUAAAAGCAGAAAAAAAAAACACAAAUCAAUGCCUGAAUGUUAAUUAUAUCUCAUAUUACCAAUGUGAAUGCUAAUAGCUCCUUUGAUGAAUAUUAAACAAAGGCAGAGCAUUGUUCCACAUCCGCCCGACCCGACCAAGAGGUCCUGAGAGCUAAUUGAAGCCAGAUUGGAUUGUUCAGAGGUAAACAGACAAUGAAGAGCCAGAUAAAGGAGCUGAUGAUGGGGUCAAAGCCGCAGAGACCCCGAGUCACAACAGCUUUUUAAGAGCUUAAAACAUAGGGAGCAUUUUAACCCAACAUCACAGCUGUUUACGAUCCGAUUUAUUCAGAGAAUUUUCCAGCAGGGGAAUGAAGCUGCAGAAGAAGUGCAUCAGUUUAAACACAGAUCAAUCCUGUUUAAUGUUGGAGUUUUUUCAUUUAACUCUCAAUAACCCAUCUGUCCAGGAGUUUUCUAUAAUUACAUGUAGUCUAACAACACUACUAAUGAACAUUUCCCUCUCUGAGACUCGACUUUAAUAAACAAGCAGCAUCAUUAAUCUUCAGCUUCAUGAUCUCUGAAGACCCAACUCCCCGGGAGGUUUGAAGCAUCUUCUAAUUGCAUGUGUGUGUGUGUGUUCAGUUAAUCACUCUUAAUGUUGCUCACUCCCUCCUUUAAUUGAAGCGCUGACAAACAAUUUAGCAGAAUAUGUCAAAAGUUCAAGGACAAUAGAGAAGUCGCCUCCUCUUUAGAGCUGUCUUUAAAAUCAGAAGUGAAGUGAAAUCAUUUCAAAGUGAAAGUCGGACUCUUCGCAAACUUCCACCAACUGUCUUCAUGCAAAAUCUCAAUCAUGUAUCAACCGGGGCUGUAGAGGAGUGGAGAGGUCUCCAAAGUGGAGAGGUUGCAGUCUGACAGUUUAAGAGUGUGGACAGGUGUCUUUAAUUGAGAUAACGAGUGGAGGAUAGAAAAGCUUCUUAAUGACGAAGUAACAGGUCUGUGAGGCCCAGAAAUCUUGCUUGUUUGAAGGUGCUAAAUACUUAUUUUCUGCACCACUAAACAAAUAAAUUCUUUAAAAAUUAUAUAACGUAAUUUCUUGGAUUUUUUUUUAACAUUCUGUCUCUCACAGUUGAAGUUUACCUAAGAUGAACAUUACAGGCCUCUCUCAUCUUUAUAAGUGGAACAACUUGCAGAAUCAGUUGCUGCCAAAUACGUUUUUGCCCCACUGUCAGUGGCUGGACUCAAUCCAGAAACAUAUCCACUUUUGAGACACAAAACUCACGUUAUGAGGCUGACUCUUGGCAGUGAUGGCGAGUAGAAUGUCUGAGAUGUUAAAUCUCGCUGUGACACGGGUCUAUAUCUCCUUUAACCUCAGGAGAGAGUCCGUGGGAAAUGAAAUCAAAAAGUCCGAAACUGUCCUCACUUCUGUCAGAGCCCAGCAGCUCCAGCGGUGACUCAUAACCCCUUCCCCUCUCAUUACCCACCAUGCUUUGACCUUUUAUUACUUAGUGCCACGGGUCAGCAGGUGUCACUGAUGGUUAUCAGGAAAUCGUGGCUCUGACUCAGUCCGGAGGCAGGGUGUCAGGGUUUCACAGUAACAAACAAGUUUCUGCCUGCUUUUGAAAUGUCAGAUUGCGGUUUGUCCCGGACUUCACGCUGGUUCUUCCUCUUAGGUUGAAAACAAACGCGGCCUGUGAGUGCAGAAAAAGUCCUAGGUGUCUAAAAAUACCUCUUAGGUAAGGUGUUCUGCAGAGGCUUUCUACUCACUCAUGAACAGAGACAAGCGCAGCAGCAUCAUCUGUCUCUCCUCUUGUAUAAAAACAUCUCCUCCACUGGAGUUUAAAAGCUCAUCCUUGGAGCUGAAAGGCACAAAAACUUCAAUUUCCUUUUUCGAUUAUCAGCAAUGUUGAAACUCUAGUUUCCGUUUAACAUCGACUGUUGCAUAAAGGAAAAAAAAGGGUUUCAGCCUCAAAGAUAUUCGUCUUAUUCAUUGAACUUUUACAGUGCUGAAUCAAACACCAACAGAAGUAAUGUGCAAGUGUGUAGUUUGUGUUACAGAAAAUUUAACCCCUUAAUAGGGUAUUUCAGUUUAAAAUCAAUUUAGGGUCAAACAGACCAAGUUAGACCCCCCCUCCAGAGAUGAAUGUUGUCGACCACUUGCUUCUCUAGUUAUACCAACUUUAGUAACGACCGCAGGAUAGAAAUACAGAGAGCCACGCCCCCAACCAGGGUCCCAGCCAUAGUACUAGACACCAAACAUCUUUUUAACUUUGACUCAUUUCUUUAGCAAAGAGACUAAACACAACUCACCUACUCUCUUCCAGCAGACGCUUGUUUGUGGGGGGACCUCAGGCCAGUCCAUUAUGGACUACAGCGGAGUGCCGCAGCUCAAGGAAGAACAUUUAUGAUCAUCUCUUGACGGGGUGUCCAACUCGGUGUUAGUGUGUUUGACCCUACAUUAAUUUCAUGCUGUAAUAUCCCUUUAAAAUCCAGACAAAUUCAAUUCAACAGUUGAUGACGAUAACUGUUAUUUUGAGAAUAUUCAGAGACGUAAACACCGCCCACACUGGGAUUAUUUGGCUAGCUACUCUCGCCAAAAGAUUCAUCAUAUACAACUUUGUCUUUCUUCUGUAUUUUUAAAGUUCAUUCACACUUUUUUAGAUCUGAUUUUAGGCUUUCUGGGUCUCUGAGUCCCUGAGCUCCAUCAUGCUGUAGGUUUCUCUGGAUCGUGCUGGUUCAGUUUGUUGCAUCAGUCUCUAAACCUCCCUCUCUAAACAUAACAUCAGUCUGGUUCUGCUCGAGGUUUCUGCCUGUUAAAGGAAGUUCUUCCUCUCCACUGUAACUUCAUAAGCAUGGGUGCGUUUGUCUGGUUUUUGCAGCUUGUUUGCCCAUUUGAGUUGAAAAAUUGCUCUUUGCACACAUUAAAAAUGAUCAUCUGCAGGGAGAAUCAUCUCAAAGACCAACAAUUGGAGAAGGAUGAAGCGUGAACUACAGUUUAGGCCUCCUGCUUUGUGUAUCUUUACAGAACCAGAACCAGGACAUUUGCUUUUCUUAUCUCCUCCUUCCAGCUGCUGAAGAAGAACUUGUUUUCCCACAAUCUCAGUUUUAGCAGGAGGAGAAGUUUAUGACAUUUUACCUCCUUGUGAACUCAAAUCCAUAAAGGAGAGGUAGACGAAUCACUUUGGGGAUUGUUUUGUGAGCGGGGACGUGGUCUAUAAAAGUCGCAAACUUCUGCUUUGUGAAUGUGUGAGUUAAAGAAGGUGUGACAGUGAGAAUAUGGUGAUCAUAUACAGCUGCUAUAAAUACUGACGUGACUCUGUCAGCUAUAGAAACAUCAUUCACUUUAUUUGCAUUUCACAUGCAGUCAGGCUAGAAGUACAGAUACGGUCCUGAGUGUAAUAUGCAUAUAAAUCUUCACCCCAAAGGCAGAAAACACAGUCAGUGGAAUAUAAAUGAAGUUUAAAUGUUAAAUAUUCCUGUAGACAUGCAGAACUAACUCAACACGUCUGUAAGUGUCCAAUCAGAUCACUUCAAACUGCAGCUUUCUUUAUGCACUCAUGAUAUUUACACUUUUAAAACUCUUCGCUGAAUGAAUACCAAGAUUUAAUUUGUUUCAAACAUGUCCGAUUCAAUGUUUCUUCAAUUUCUAUGACUUUCUUUUAGACUAAAAUCGUCUUUUUAGUGGUAAUUAUGGGUUAUUUAAUCCUGAUUUACUCCAUGAAUGUACAAACACUAUAGUUGCGAGCUUCGUGUUGUACUUUUCUCCCUGCAGUAAAAUGUGAGUGUUGAGCAGACGGUCGCUGAAUACUAAUCCCCCUUCAGCUCUGAGACCAAGAAACCGUGCCACAGUGCCACUGCGAAGUGAGCGCAGGCGUUUUCCCUUCAGGCAGAGUCCCUCACAGAUAGAGGAGGUCGUUUACCGAGUUAAUAAAACAUGGCAAAGAAAAGGAUGAGACAUCGAAGAGGGCUGCCUGCCGUCAUCUGGGAGGAGAACGCCACAGGGACAGAGGGGCAGUUUUUUCUAAGUGGAGUUUUAUGAGGUUCUGGUUAAGACUGAGAUUAUAACCCACAAGAGGAGCCGGUCAGCUUGGCAGCCAAUGGUAACUGUAACAUUAAAAAAGAUUGGACUUUAACACCAAUAUUGAUCUGAGGGGAAGGUACGGAAAGUUACAGAAACAUUAGAACUAUUUUUUCCACUCCACCAACGACCAGGGGCCUCGUUUAUCAACCGUGCGUACAAAAGGUUUUUAAAUUCUGGUCCUGGGUUCAAAUCCCGGUCAGGGCAUCUCUUGUUUUAGGAACAUUAUAAACGGUGAACAUUACAGUUUAAACACAAAUAAACGUUCAUAAAAGACACGAAACAGUAAAAGUUUUGGUGUGAAUCACAAUAUAAGGGGGGACAUGAGCUGCUUGGCGGAGGUCUGCGCUCUCCGAGUGCUUUUCUAGUAUUUGUACUUGUAUUUGUUCUUGUAUUUGUACUUGUAUUUGUACUUGUCAGACUUGUUCUGAGGUUGUCCUGUCACAGCUGAUUUUAUAACUUGUCACACCAAUCGUUCAAAAUGUCUGAUCAAUAGCUAAUUGAUAAAUUUAGUACAGAGGAAACAGAGAACAUGUGUGAAGUUUGAGAUUGCUGAAUGCUGUGACUCCUUUAACGGGCUAGUUGUAGUUUCACUGUUCGACCACUAGGGUUUGUGUGCAGGCAUGCUCAGAGUUGGGCUUAAAUUUACGCACCAGAUUUUGCGUGGGAAUGUUCGUACACACUCAUUACGCAGGGUUGAUAAAUGAGACCCCUGGGGAACAGUUUUUGGUCUUUUGUUUCCUGCUGUCUUCGUUUUCGCCUCUCUGGUUUAUUUAUCAUGAAAAAAUCAGAGUCUGACAUGUAGAAGUAAUUAACACCUGCUUAUUUACUGUGGUGUCAGUUUAGUUUGAUAUAAUGCUGCUCAUUAUCGGAUGUCAAGUUUGAAACUUUUACACGGAUUAAUAGUUUUCAGACUUUCAGAGACGUCAUUAAAGAGUUUAUGAGUUUAUUUAUGAUUUAUGUGAAUUUCUGCAAACGCAAGAAAAACAUUAAAAACUCUACGAAGCAUUUUGUACGAACAGUCAUUAAAAGGACACUACAGGCUGUCACUCAUGUGCAGGUCAUUUAUUAUGUGCAUAUUGUUAAUUAUGUGCACAUUGUUCUAAUUAAGCAGGCUGUUAAUCACGUGUAGGUGUUUGUUUUUAUAUGAUCUAGACUGAGUGCACAUGUCCAAACACAAACAACUAUGAAAUUUGACGGACAGCUUGUCCACUUGUGAUUAGCAAUAAUAAGUCAAAAGCAAAAUUUCAGAGAUUGGAAUGUUAAUAAAAUUGUUCUUCUUUAAAACCUCCCCUCUUAUUUUUUAAACAGACAUUUAAUUAUUCUGAUAAAACAGAUUCUGACUCUGAGUUACUCCUGAUGACACUGUUAUAAGUCUAAGAUAAAGUAAAACUACACCCAGAUCUAAAUAUAAGUCUGAUCCGUCCUCCUGAACAAGGGAAAUUUCAGCCUCAAGGUUGUUGACAGAAUCGUAUUCUUGCAGCUCACUCCAGUUACAGAAAGAAAGAGAGAAAAAAAACCUUCAAACCCACCGCUCGUCUUUUUUUCUGUUAUAUUGCGGUUAGAAAAUGUCAGCGACGGCGGUGCCUGAGUGUGCUCACAUGUCAGAGAAUAAGGGAAGUAUAUUUCUGUAAAGGUCAUUUUUUGAAGGCUGUGAGUUUUAUAUGAACUUCUCUUUCUGUCAAGACAAGGUGAGACAGAAAAGGAGGAAGUAAUAUUUCAUUUCCUGUCAGGUGUGUUUUGAGGAUUACGAAAAAAAGACUGAUAUUACUCGGGACGGGUUUUUGUGACCUCCAAACCAAACAAAUUUAAAAUCGAAAAUGUCCACAGGGGGCAGCAAACUCAACACAAAAAGACAGAUGUACAUCAGCAUAUGGGAACUUCUUUGUGAUUCAGGGACAUUUUCAGCAUUCUGGGACUUUUUUGGUAUACAGGAACUUUUUCAGCAUUUUAGGACUUUUUCGGCAUAGUAGACCUUUUUUUAUGUACAGGGAUAUUUUAAGCUUUCUGGGAUUUUUUUCAGCCUCCAGGGACGUUUUCAGGAUUCUGGAAAUUCCUCAGUAUUCUUAGAUUUUUUUUUUGGCAUACAGGGACAUUUUCAGUAUUCUAGGACUUUUUGGCAUACAGGAACUUCUUCUGGAAUUUAGGGACAUUUUUAACAUUGUGGGACUAUUUUGGCAUACAGGAACUUUUUUGGUAUACAGGGACAUUUUCACUAAUCUUGAACUUUUUCGGCAUACAGGGACAUUUUUAGGCAUACAGGAACUUUUUCUGCAUUCAGGAACUUUUUCAGCACACUAGACCUUUUUCAAUGUACAGGGACAUUUUUGGCAUACUGGAACUUUUUUGGUACACAGGGACGUUUUCAGCAUUCUGCAUCUUUUUCCGUAUACUGAUAUUUUUUUGGCAUACAGGGACAUGUUUAGUAUUCUUGGACUUUUUCGGCAUACAUACCAUCUCCUUACAGUUCCUCUCAGCGAUUCAGUGGGGAAUGCCACCACGACACCAUACGUGAUGCUUACUGGCUUCAAACGACACUCAGUCUCAACAUCAAGUUGUUAAAUCUUGGCAGAAAUUGAAAAAACGAGUAAAAUCUGAGUUAAAGGAGGACAACAGUGAUCUUGUCCUGGGUCUAACAAGCACAUAAACUCAGACCUUCAUUUGUCUUUGUGUACUUUUAUAACUACUUGCUGUUCAGACACUUAAUGGACAGUCAUUUAAUGCAUGUGCACAUGUACUCCACUGGACCCCAGAGACCUGAUCUCAGACUUGAUUUUGAGUUUGUGACAAACUUUGACAAAUGCUUUAUCGGGUAUCUAAUGGACCCCGUUAUCGAUCCUCAUCCCUCGUCCCAGCAAUAAAAGAAAUGUCUAAUGGAGAGCCGUCUUAUGUGCCUACGCUUAAUAAAACGACUCCUGAAGGUCACAUUACUGAAGUACAGUAGAGACAGAGCGGGUCUGAAAUAAACCAUCAACAUAAAUCAGAACCAUGUGUGUGUUCUUAUGGAUGGAGUAAUCCUGUCUGAAGUUCAAAGCUGCCCUUGUAGAAGUUGGAAACACAGCGGGAUAAGAAAUUUAACACACCUUCAAACACACAGACACACACACACACACACACACACACACACACACACACACGUGGGAUCAUCAGCACAAACACAGCACCUCUCUAAAGAACAGAACAAAUUAUCCUCCAGCGUUUCAUAAGCCCUGUCCUAUUUUUCGAGGCAAUUUUCUCCCCGCCUUGAUACCUGAAGUCUGAAAGCCGUUUGAUAACAAUCAUAAAAUCAUCAUGUCUGUGAUUUUGAUCAUAUUUGAGGUGCAAUUUUACCGCUGCAGAACAAAGACCUCUUUGUCUUUGACGGCAACACAGCAUGUGUCUGCGGAACAUACCUGGAAGCUCUCGGGGUUUUCGGUGAACGGACUGCCGCUCAUGUCCCACGUGAAACCCGAAUCAGCGCCGCUGGAUAAUUCAAUCACGCCACACUCGCAUUUCAAGCCUUACUAAGAAAAAGCUCGACGCUUCUCCAAAAGUUAGAAACUUCCCAGAAGAUCACAGUUGGAUAUCUAUUGUGUGUGUCGCUCUGCAGCGCUCAUUGUUCAUUGGUCCUCUCUGAGCCUCAUGCUUUACCUUACCGUCAAAGUCAGACGCCAUAGUAGUCACAUGAUGUACACGACUAAGUACCGUGGUACCUUACAUCAUAACUGGGUGCGGAGAUUUAGAUAACACUGUCUGUGCAUGUUUACGUUCAACGGUCAUGUGACUCAGUUCAACGAAGAACGAUUCGGGUCAUGUGACUGUUAUCGCACAUCCCGCGACAAGACGUAUUCCUCAUCCCUAAUCUGAAAGACCAAACUCAUCAUGCUGUGAACAUGUAUUCUAACCCUGGGAUUGGGAUUAGGGAUCAUUUUUUAAACCAUGAAGGACACCUGAGCAGAAAAUCAAACCCGACCCAGAAGUCCAGGGGCCUCAUUUAUCGACUGUGUGUAAUGAGUACGAACAUUCACACGCAAAGUCUGGAAUUUAUCAACCUGAACUUGUGUGUAAAUUUAAGCCCAACUCUGAGCAUGCUUACACACAAACCCUAGUGGUAGAACAGUGAAACUACAACUAGUACCAUUAAAAGAGUCACAGCGUUCAGCAAUCUUAAACUUCACACGUUCUCUUUUCUCUCUGUACAAAAUCGAUCAAUUAGGUAAGAUUGGUGUGACAAGUUAUAGAAUCAGCUGUGACAGGACAACCUCAGAAGAAGUCUUACAAGUACAAAUAUAAAUAUCAUGGCUUAUUUUGGACGAUUGGAGGACUUGGAGAAGCGUCUGCUCCUCCUCCUCCUCCUCCUCCUCCUCCUCCUGAUAAAUGAGGCCCCCGGUGUUUCAGAGGACAAUAAAGGUCAAACUCAAACAUUUUCAUCCAGUGAAGCCUUUUCAAGUUCUCACCGUACUCUCUGCAGCCACUUUUGGCAACAAAUCAAACUCCAGCCACCCGCAGAACAUCCCGCAGCCGUAUUACAGAAACAUCUUUAUCAUUUUGCAAAAAGCCUGAAUUUGAAAUCUCUUUUCAGACGGAGCGAUUGGAGCCCCUCUGGGUCACAAAUUCACAGAAGCUGCUGAAAACUCAAACAGAUAGUUCAACCCUGCCGUGGUUCAGCCCAGAUUUUGGAGCGCCUGCUGUUUCCAGAGUGUGUUUGUUGAACUGUUCUUGAAGUUCUGACACAGUUGGUUCAUGUUGUCUUCAGGAAGAAAGUGCCGGAGCAUCGUCUAAUCUGAGUCCAGUUUCGGAUAAAGGAGGCGAGAAUUCACAGUGAAGUGUUUGACGUUGACGUUUGUUACUGUUAGUUCUGGUGUUUUCCAUUUGCCACAAGUGUCUCUGCAUACCAAUGAAGGUAUAAAUGUUUUUACUUUCCACGGUGUGAAUGAAUCUUUCAGCUGCAGAGAGAGCGAGACAGAAGAUCUGACAGAACCUCGCGCUGAUUCCUCCUCUUACUCUCUGAGCUGUUUGGAGCGUCCCUGUUGUUUAAUCAAAAGUAGAAAAAAGAGAAAGUGAAGGAGGCAGAAAAAGUAAACUGGGCACACCACCACGUUUUCAGAAAAGUUUUCAUUUACACAAACUCGUGUAUAUAUGCCGUCAAGAGCAUGCCAGGCUGCUUUGGCAAACUCUGAAAAAAGUGAGUCUUAAUUCCCGUUAAAAUAUCAGACAAAUGACUUGUUCUCAUGAUUCUUAACUCCUGAGUCCUAAAAGAGUCUUAAAAUUCUAACAAGAACACAGGUUCCCAGAUUUUUCUGCCCAGGACUCCAUAAAAUAAUAAAGUCAUCAACUGGCGACCUUGGCUGACCUUUACGAUGAUCUUGAGCUCCCCUUUUAGGUACUUGAUACACUCUCUUAUAGGUGGGUUCGAGUUUGAGCUGCCUAUUAAUGUGGACCAUGUUCUCCAAACACAAGAGGAAAAAGGUCUGCCCUAAACAAGAGGACCAGGUAGAAGGAUGCGACACAAACAUGUAGGUGAAUGAACGUGAGUGAGAGUUUAGUUUGAGGGUAAAUCCUCUUAAAUGUGUCCCCGUCCUCAGGUCUUCUUCCUUGUGUUAUUUUUCCACCCACAGUUUCCAUGAACUCAACUUUAAGAUCCUCUGGUGCAGAGGUUGACAUUUAACUCCCUUUGCCGUUGGUCCUCCAGGCCAUCACCUUUCCAAUAUCUCCGGCCCUGGAGCGUUACCUCUGAUUCAGGAAAUAAGUGUCAAAGAUUCACUCCCAAAAUGAAGAAGCUGAUCUGAUUUGUUGUAAAAGACCUGCAGCUGCGACAUCACUCAGCCAACUCCAGCCGUCGGGUUAAACCUCUGACACUCUUCGUCUCUCUGGUUUGACCCUUCUGGUGAUUCUCUUCAGUUUUUGGCUCCCAGUAUCACCGGAAAAUGUUCUGGAGGAUUUUGAGAUCUCAUAUUGAUCUCUUGACUGGCUCCUCUGGGCCGUAGAAACGUGGAGUCUGUCAGCCGGGCGUUCAGUCCAGCAGGCCAGUUAUUAUGCAAAGCCCUGCAGUAUAAGAACAGACACUGAUUUUCUAAUUAGAGUCUGAAUUUUAAUUUUCAAACACCUGAUUCACUGAGACUCCACAUGACCCCAUCAUACUGCAGGUGUUAUUGGUGUUUUUUGCAGGUGAUCAUCCCAAAACAUCCUUCAUCCUUCACACUUUAAUCCACCAAUCAAAAACUUUGCACAUUAUCUUGUGCAAAUACACAGUCCUCACACUCUAAAACCUCUUGGGUUUUUUCUUCAACCCAUUUUUUUUUUUUUUUUAAGUGCAGUGCACGCUGUUAGUACAUCACCUUGUGCGUUUGCUUGCAGAUGCAUGACGUUUACAUUCAUAUUCAAACAUUCAAGUCUCUUAAUCUAGAAACCAAAGUCAGGUCCAACAAGAGGCCACGCCCCCUAAAAUCAGAUUUUUCACCCCAAAAUACUGACAUUAAAUUAGCUUUUGGGUUGAGUUGCAGAACUUUAAACUGUGACGACUUUUUAAAGUUUAAAAAAAAGAAGUAAAACAUAUCCGCUAAAAUUAAUAUUUACGCUUCAUGAUGUGCGUACAUAUUUGGCCACCCUGGUCGAAAGGGUCUGGCUCCGCCCCCUCUCAGAAACCAACCAGCUAACCGGCUGAAAUAGAAGAUGCAGAGGACUUUGUGUUAUCAAGAUCGUUUUGCAUUCAGUCUUUGGUGGACUUUCUCGCCCGCUGUGUUGCAGGCUGCUAAAUGUAAAUGCAAACAUGAAAAAUGGAUGAGUUUCCUGUGAGCUUGUCGCUCAGCGUUCAGGGUAUUUCAGUUUUUCUAUCAGUGCAAAUAUCCCCCCUGAGAUUAAUGAAUCUGCACGUAAAUUUACAUGUAGAUGAUAGUGGUACAUAUUUCAUCAUGUGGAGUGUGACUGGAUGUGUGCGACACAUGUUGACAAAGAAAACACAGUCUGAUUAUAAGUGUGAGCAUAAAAUAAUUCACAAAACAGGAGAAAAAAUGAGCAAAAUCGAUCUUUUCUGGGCUUUAAACUCACUUAAAAAAAUAUUUCAUGUUUCAAACAGAAGUUUAUAGAUUUCAGCAGCUCCUUCAGGCCUUUUAAACAGAAUUAGACUUCCGCUCUUGUUUUGGUCUGUUCUGUACAUUUUUAAUUUUUAUGUCCUUUCAUUAUACAAAUGAAUAAAGAACUACAUGAAUUUGUUUGGUGGUUUCAGAAAACCAGUGUUUCAUCCAUUUCAUUGAUUAAAAUAUUAUUUCAUCAACCUUCUGUCUGUGUCCUCGACACCUUCAGGUUACUCCUCUAAAGCACACAGCAGCUUCACUUUGAAAAUACUCUGCUUUGUUAUUUCUUUUAAUGAUUUUAUAUUAAAACAUGAAAAUAAAUGAAGGAAUGAUGUUUUAUUUUAAUCUGCAGAGUCUUUGUUGCUUUACCUCUCUUCACUUUUGUUACUUUCCCGUCUCUCCUCCUGGGGUUUAUCUUCUUUUUUUUUUCUCGGUGUAAUCUCUUUUUUCUUUCUUUCUUUCUGUCUGUCUCUGUUUUUCUGUUCGAGUUUGAUUCCCACCCUCUCCGAGAGUUUCUCUAUCCCUCCAGCGUAUCGCAGAGCUGCUGUCAGAUGUUAUCAUCUGAUGUCUUGCUGCUUUCUCAACCCUCGGUACGUUAGAUUGGAAACUCCUUUUCUGUUUCCUAUUUUUCCAUCUUUUCCUCAGUCCUUCGUUUUUAUCCUUUCCUCAGUCCAUCAGCCAUCCUCCUAAACGUCCCCUUUUAUUGCACUUUUCUUGCUCGCUUUAAUUCCUCUGUAAAUAAACAUGAAAAAAGAGCAACCUGCACAUAACAGGCCGAGCUACAUCCAUCACUUCUGCUGGAUCAGCUGUUAUUUGUCGUUUUCGUCGCUCUUGCAGCCUCAGGGUUUGUGUUUACAUCAUGUCUAAUCACAACACCACCAAGCAAGACAAAACAGAAAAUGAAAUAUCAGCCUUUGCAUGUAAUUACAAACUCAGCAUGACUCUGUCAAACCACAAACUCCCAGACUUACAGUAGGAGUCAGUGAUCAGGGGAGUCAGAGCUCAGAGUCACACGCUGGGAUCACAGCAGGUUUAAUUAUUAUCUGAAAUAUGUGAUACUAAUAAAGAGUGGAGAUUGAUUUCCCACGUGAAAACAUUUGAUUAUAUGGAAAUGUAUUUGAACCAAGAAGGAUACAGAGUCUUGAACCUAAGUGGCAAUUUUAUUCACUGAAUCAAUCCAGACUUUCUGCCGUCUGAAUAUUUUUAUCUCUUAACGAUUCGACUCGACCCGAAACAAACAAGAACUAUUGAUGCCAGAGUUAUAAAAGUUCAAUCAAACUCAUUCUUAAGCAAAACUCAUAAAUACGAAAGUCUCACACCAACUGAAGUGAACUACUCGGUUUUUUAUUCCCUUAUAUUUACGCGACUGUUGUGGUUACUGUCAAAAUAAAGGUACAGAGCGUCCAAUCAUGACCGUGUCCUGCAGGAAACUCGAGUUUAAGCUUUAAAUUUGACUCAUGAUGAAGAACCACAGUCUUUACUUUAGUGGUCUGAUAAGAACAUCUGAGUGUCAUCUGCAUAAGGUCGUAUAUUUUGUUUUGAUUUGUAAAGUUAGACGAUUUUGCAGAGGGUCUUCGUUUCAGUUUGAGAUCUCAUUUAAGUCGCCUCUCUUUGAACUCCUGUGGAUUUUAGGAUGAGGACAUUUUUCUACCUUCGUGGAGUCUGUAAUCUACAUUUUGCAGCUCUGUAGCGCACUCUAAAAACUCUCUGUUUUUCUGAGAGGAACCCAAUGAUUGUGUCAGAAUGUUGGGUUCGAUUGACUCUUCAUGGUUUCUAGUCCGAAUGGCAAUUAUAUUAAUGGCAAAUAUAUCUCAGGCGGCUGGGGUAGCUCAGCGGGUUGAAAUCCCACAUGAGACGCAUCUGUAAACGCGAACGGCAUCUACCAGUGUGGGUUCUUAGGCAAAAUCCUUAGCGCUAUGGCCUACCUCAUGAGCGUGUAAUAAGUAGUUGGUCACUUUCCAACCCUGGUGUUGGGUUUUUAGAGUGUAAAAUGGGAUGUGGCCCAUUUCAUCCAACAUGAGUGACAGUGGGGAGAAAAAAACUUCCUUUUAACAGGCAGAAACCUUGAGCAGGACCAGACUCAGACCAGACACCUAGUGGCAGACUCCCCAGCCACCAGGCGCUGCUGGGUUGGGGAGGAAUACAGAGAGAUAGAAAGAGAUAAUAACUUGGAACUCUUUUCAGUCCUUUCACAGCUGAAGGGCUUGGUCUUCUCAAGGACUGACCUUUUUUUUUUAAGAUAUAAACUGAUGCUUAAUUUAUGCACAGAAACCCUCGAAGGAGGGAGAAGGGCAGACGGGGUCGAACCCGGCCCAAGAGCAGAUAUUUCUCAUAACCUGAUGUCACUUAAUGAUUAAUACUUCUUACCUGCAGCCAGUGGGAUUGGUGCAGACUUUUCUUUUUUAAAACAAAAGUUUAGCAGAGACUCAAACAAAGAGCUGUUUGUAAUUUCAGUGACCAAGUAUCUGUCCUGGAUGUCAGCGGCCUGAUCGUAUACCUGCUGCAGCUCCUUGAGGAAUGUUCCUGAGACGUUCCUAGAUUUGCUCCGUAUCUCCUCACAGUUUUUGAAUCUUUGUAUCCUGCUGAAGCUGAGUGUGUUUUGACCUAAACGUGGGGGACAUCUGUGUACGUCAGGCAGUCAUACAAACUUCUUUGUGGUCGAAUCACGCUGCACCGGACACUCGAAGUCUUCUGAAGAAUCU
rnacentral:lncRNA from 1 species